UAAAUACUUAACUGGUCUCAGGAAAUUCCUGAAACAAGUAAGACUCACAAGUCUCCUCCCCUAAAUUGUGGAAGCACUGAAGAAUUUCUGGGGGAGGAACCCCUCCCUCUAUCAGCUGAGUAGCCUGAAGGAAACUCUGUCAAGCUGCCUACAUGUUAUUCAGAGAGCUCCAGGACCAUAACUUUUGUAAGCUGUCCCCAAUGCUGGAGUGGGCUUCUCUGUCAUCCAUGUUCCUGGGGAAUGUCUUAGUGAAAUCCCAUCCUUCAGACAAUUAAUAUACACUAAUGAAAAAAAAAGUAAAGUUUUAAACUUAAGAAUGGCAAGAAAGCUUUGUUUAAAUCAAUAAUAUGGAUAUGGAAUAUUUUUGUCUUAAUUAUGGACACAAAAAAUCAGAGGUUCAAAGACAUAUAAACUGGAUGCCUCAUGGUAUAAUCAUCUGACUGUAUCUCUGAAACAUCAUUAGGAUUUGGGAAGCAUGUUAACAAACACUUGAUGAAGCCACUCUGAAGAAAACACCAUUAAUCAUGUCAUCUGAUAAAAGACACGUCAGGAGGAUCAUAGUAUUAAGCUGUUACUGAUGCCACAUGAAAACGCUCAUCAGAUACAUUGCUACGGUCUGGAUAGAUGAAAGCCUGAAUAAAGUCCAUGAAAAUAUGUCCAGAGGCUCAUUCUCCACUUCAGAGAAUUUGUGUAGACAGCAGGAGUGGAUGCCAAGGCAGGAGAUCAGGAUCAGGAGAACACCUCCACAGGGACUCAUGAGAAUGAGUAUCCCAAAGAUGAUACAGUUAUGUGCUGCCUUCUGCUAACACAGCCAGUUGCUUCAUUAAAUGGAACAUGUGCGCAUGAAAUUCCUGCAAGAAUACUGGGUGUGUCCUGAGAAUCUAAAUUCUGCAGAAUUGUGUGUACAUUCCUGUUUCCACUACUAUAGCCUUAUGUGUUAAUAUACUGUAACAAAACACAUUCAAAAAAUCCUUCAUGAAUUUUGCUCACUUUUUUUUCCAGAUGAACUUUAGAAAGGCUUGUCAAGUCUGGUUUAUUAAAAACUCCUAUAAGGAUCUUCAUUGGGUUUAUGACAACUAGAUAAUCUGAAGAAGCUGUCAGUGCAAUUUCAUCCUUCUUAUUCAGAAAUUCUUGAGGCUUUUCUCUAUUUUCUUGGAGAUGAGAAAUUUCACACAAUCUUUGUAGCCACCCACUUCCAUACACACCCAGAUUCUGCGCUGGCUUUCCUUAAAAGACAUGAGAGCAUCGUUUUGAAAUACAGAACCAAGGUAUUUGGGCAGGCCAAUCUACUACAGUGAAAGAAGAUGAAACAUAACUGUUGAAACUGACUGGAAGGCACUGCAUGCCAUCUAAACUCUACCAUGGUGUU